UUUUUGCUCACGUCAUUGUGUGAGAUUAUUUAACUGGCUCAUUGUCUCUUGGAUCUCACUGCCUCUCUGGGCUUUAAUCUAAUGUAUUGGGAGGUGACGGAUCUACGAUUUUCUCUUUCUCAAGAAUGCUAUAUCGCUCAUCUCAUCUCUGUGUUCUCAGUUUCUCGCUCAAUUCGUAUCUGCUCUCACGCUUUUCCUUAAUCAUCUCUUCGCUCUUACUCUCUCACUAACCUCUGAAAACCACAAACCCACCGAAGUCCCAACUUUUCCAAUUUUUUUGUGGUAUUGCAGGAUUAGGGCCUUCUAAGUUUACAUAUAGGUAUAAUUAGUUUUUGUUAUAAACUACUAAAGGACACGGUAUGAAACUAAUUUGUGUAUGUUUGUUGAAGGUCUCUCCUAGCAGACAUCAUACAACCACAGGACUUGAAGGAGCUUUGUUCAGUUUUGGUGGUAGUAGCAGAAGAAGCUGCAAAGGCACUUGCAGGUUUCAAACACAGUAAGCAAAUUGCUUUCUCCGACUCCUAAUUCUCCUUCAGUUAGCCAGACUUGGGGUGGAUGAGAAGAGUACAACAAAUACUUGGUCGUAAACCCCAACGUAAUCUGCAUGCAAUAUAUGUCCUUCACCCAACUUUUGGCAUGAAGGCUGCAAUAUUUGCUCUGCAAUUGUUUGUGGACAAUUUGGUCUGGAAGAAAGUGGUAUAUGUAGAUAGAUUACUGCAGCUCUUCAAAUAUGUUCAUCGUGAGCAGUUGUUGACCAUCCCUGACUUUGUGUUCCAGUUGAGUUUCUAUGUUCCUUCCCCCACUUAUCCCACUCCAAUUUUUAUAGCAACUUGGAUUUAAAAUUCCCAAUUUUUAUAAUCAAUGCAUGCACGAUUUAGAAGUCAAUGGUGGGAAGGGCCUUAUUGUUCUGUUUCUGCAAAUUUUCAAUCUCUGUAUCAUAAGACAAUAAUAUAUAUUUGCACUUACGGUACAUGGCUUAUGAAUUCUUAUCUUACUCUUAAAUGUUGUGCCUACUUGGUAUAUAUUUGCACUAAUGGUACAUGGCUUAUUUCGUUAAGAGUUUAAUUUCAUCUACAAGAAAAUAAUAUACUUGAAAUCUUUUAUUUAUCUGAACCUCAAUUCAAUUUGCAGGAAAUUCAAAAGAGGGUAUUUUUGUGUGUAUAGAGCUAGAAGGAAGGACACUUACACCCAAAUGGAAUUAGAUGAGGUGCGAGAAGAAUUGGCAACUCAUGUCCUAGAAUGACUUUUUGAUUGAGCUAAACAUUCCUUCAUUUUACAUGUCUUUCUAGCUAGUAUUUUGUGGUGUAGGGCUGGUAAAUUUGUGAUUUGGAUGUGACAAGUAUGGAUAAUUCAAGUAUUUUGUGCAUAUAUAUAUGUAGACAAGUAUGGAUAUAUUUAAAUUACUGUUUAUGUGAAA